GACGAACGCUGGCGGCGUGCCUAAUACAUGCAAGUAGAACGCAGGUGCGAACGGGUGAGUAACGCGUAGGUAACUACCUAUUAGAGGGGGAUAACUCUUGGAAACGAUAGCUAAUACCGCAUACUAGUAGAUGGACCUGCGUUGUAUUGGCUAGUAGGUAGGGUAAUGGCCUACCUAGGCAACGAUACAUAGCCGGCCUGGGAGGGUGGUCGGCCACACUGGGACUGGGACAAGGCCCAGACGCCCACGGGAGGCAGCAGUAGGGAAUCUUCGGCAAUGGGGGGAACCCGGGCCGAGCAACUGCGCGGGAGUGAAGAAGGUUUUCGGGUCGUAAAGCUCUGUUGUUUAGGAAGCGGUACUUAACCAGAAAGGGACGGCUAACUACGUGCCAGCAGCCGCGGUAAUUC
rnacentral:rRNA from 1 species